UACGAAGGGGGCUAGCGUUGUUCGGAAUUACUGGGCGUAAAGCGCACGUAGGCGGACAUUUAAGUCAGGGGUGAAAUCCCAGAGCUCAACUCUGGAACUGCCUUUGAUACUGGGUGUCUUGAGUAUGGAAGAGGUGAGUGGAAUUCCGAGUGUAGAGGUGAAAUUCGUAGAUAUUCGCAAGAACACCAGUGGCGAAGGCGGCUCACUGGCCCGGUACGUGACGCUGAGGUGCGAAAGCGUGGGGAGCAAACAGG
rnacentral:rRNA from 1 species